UACGUAGGCAGCGAGCGUUGUUCGGAAUUACUGGGCGUAAAGAGUGUGUAGGCGGUGCUCUAAGUUCGGUGUGAAAUCUCCUGGCUCAACUGGGAGGGUGCGCCGGAAACUGGAGUGCUUGAGCGUGGGAGAGGAAAGCGGAAUUCCUGGUGUAGCGGUGAAAUGCGCAGAUAUCAGGAGGAACACCGGUGGCGAAGGCGGGUCUCUGGGCCGAUACUGACGCUGAGGAGCGAAAGCAUGGGUAGCGAACAGG
rnacentral:rRNA from 1 species